UGGCCAUAGUUGUAAUGACUAGGAAAGUAAGAGUGGACAGUCCAUCCAUAGUUGAUUUGAAAACUUACUUUAGCUGAAUGCAUUAUAUAUCUUAAAAUCUAUGUUGAUAGAUAUGAUAUGUUUGAUGUAUUCAUUAGUAUGUUCUUCCAAAAAAUCAUGGAAACUAAAUAUUUAUAUUGCUCGUACAAUAUAUUCAAUC
rnacentral:lncRNA from 1 species